ensembl:miRNA oar-mir-654 oar-mir-654
GAGCCCCCAACCUGGGUUAGUGGAAAGGUGGUGGGCUGCGGAGCAUGUGCUUCCUUCGCGUCAUAUGUCUGCUGACCAUCACCUUUAGAGCCCUCUCGCUGAGGA